GUACACGCUGUGACUAGCAUAUCAAUAAGCGGAGGAAAAGAAACUAACUAGGAUUCCCCUAGUAACAGGCGAGUGAAGCGGGAAGAGCUCAAAUUUGAAAUCUUAAAGGGUUUCCCUUUACGAAUUGUAGUUUAAAGAAGUGUUUUCUGUUGAGGUUUUGGUAAAAGUUCUUUGGAAUAGGACAUCAUAGAGGGUGAGAAUCCCGUAUUUGACCUUUACUUUCAACUUUGUGAUACACUUUCAAAGAGUCGGAUUGUUUGGGAAUGCAGUCCAAAAUGGGUGGUAAAUUUCAUCUAAAGCUAAAUAUUGGCGAGAGACCGAUAGCGAACAAGUACCGUGAGGGAAAGAUGAAAAGAACUUUGAAAAGAGAGUUAAACAGUACGUGAAAUUGUCAAAAGGGAAGCGUUUGACACCAGUGUUGUUUUUCUGAAAAUCAAUUAAAGAACUGUUUAUGCUAAGUUGUUUAGACUUUAUCAGCUAACUGUUUAGUUUUGAGCUUUUCUUUAAUGCACUUUUCAGUUAACAAGUCAACAUCAAUUUCUUUUGCUGUAAAAAAGCUUGAGGAAGGUGGCUUGAGAUUCGUCUUAAGUGUUUAUAGCCUCUUGCCUAUGCAGUCGGAGAGAUUGAGGUCUGCAGCGUAGAUCCUUCGGGGCUAAAUGCAUUUGUGCUAAGUUAUAGCAUUUCAUAGACAACUUGUUGACUAUGAUUUGUCUUGUAGCUUACUCGCUUAUGUUAUUUUACCUACGCUUAGGAUGUUGACAGCAGUAUAGACUGU
rnacentral:rRNA from 1 species